rnacentral:rRNA from 1 species
GAUGAACGCUGGCGGCGUGCUUAACACAUGCAAGUCGAACGAGAAAUGUAGACGGAAACCUUCGGGCGGAAGCCUUCAUUUCGAGUGGCGGACGGGUGAGUAACGCGUGGGUAACCUGCCUCAUACAGGGGGAUAACAGUUGGAAACGACUGUUAAUACCGCAUAAGACCACAGCAUCGCAUGAUGCGGGGGUAAAAACUCCGGUGGUAUGAGAUGGACCCGCGUUCGAUUAGCCAGUUGGCGGGGUAACGGCCCACCAAAGCGACGAUCGAUAGCCGAUCUGAGAGGAUGACCGGCCACAUUGGGACUGAGACACGGCCCAAACUCCUACGGGAGGCAGCAGUGGGGAAUAUUGCACAAUGGGGGAAAACCUGAUGCAGCGACGCCGCGUGAGUGAAGAAGUACUUCGGUAUGUAAAGCUCUAUCAGCAGGGAAGAAAAUGACGGUACCUGAGUAAGAAGCCCCGGCUAACUACGUG